rnacentral:tRNA from 2 species
GCCGAAGUGGCGGAACUGGCAGACGCGCCGGACUCAAAAUCCGGUGUCCCUUAAAGACGUGUGGGUUCGAGUCCCUCCUUCGGCA